AUUGAACGCUGGCGGCAGGCCUAACACAUGCAGGUCGAGCGGAUGAAGGGAGCUUGCUCCUGGAUUCAGCGGCGGACGGGUGAGUAAUGCCUAGGAAUCUGCCUGGUAGUGGGGGAUAACGUCCGGAAACGGGCGCUAAUACCGCAUACGUCCUGAGGGAGAAAGUGGGGGAUCUUCGGACCUCACGCUAUCAGAUGAGCCUAGGUCGGAUUAGCUAGUUGGUGGGGUAAAGGCCUACCAAGGCGACGAUCCGUAACUGGUCUGAGAGGAUGAUCAGUCACACUGGAACUGAGACACGGUCCAGACUCCUACGGGAGGCAGCAGUGGGAAAUAUUGGACAAUGGGCGAAAGCCUGAUCCAGCCAUGCCGCGUGUGUGAAGAAGGUCUUCGGAUUGUAAAGCACUUUAAGUUGGGAGGAAGGGCAGUAAGUUAAUACCUUGCUGUUUUGACGUUACCAACAGAAUAAGCACCGGCUAACUUCGUG
rnacentral:rRNA from 1 species